CUGGGUUGUUUUUUUAGAAAAUGUUCUCCACUGAGGCUUUUCUGUUCCCUCCAGUCUCCACACUGGGACCCCAAAGCUUUGGCCAAGCCUCUGCUCCUAACACGUUUUUGUUUUCUUAAAUGGACUGAGAAGCCCUUUCAUAAAGUUCACUUGAGGAAAACACAUUCAUCCCAGGGUCCUAGCAGGAUUUCAGCUCAGCCCCUCACUCACAUCAGCAAUGAACCCAUCUCAUGACAAUGUUCUGGCCUCGAAGAGCCACAUCCACGCACAAAAAAUCCUUUCUGAGAAAAUUUUUGCAUCCAUGGAGCUGCAAGGACUUAGAGCAGUUCUCUCAGCACAGCUCUCCAGGUGAUGGACACCAACCUGAGGCUCUCCCUCAGCUGCCCCUGCCUGCUGCUGAUGUGGUCUUUGGGAAAACAUAGCAUUCAAGACAUCUUCCCAUUUUCAAGUCUGGGCACCUAAGUGUGAACACAAGUAUCUGUUUUUGAAAGUGCCCUGUAGUUUUCCCAACCCUGAAGUGUGGAAAGCAAUGUUUAAAAAAUGGGUAGAAUGUAAAAUGUAAAAUUGUCAGAUUCAUGUUUCAGACCUGGGCUAUUCCACUCUAUUUUUUGAAUGGCAAGUUCUCACUGCUGGAGGAAGGCACAAUAAAGUCCAAAAUAAAGUGCUUUACAGGGUGACUCAUCCUGACCCAACAAACAGGUCCUGGGACUAACCCUGAGCCUGUUGUAUGGACCUGGCCAGACAAUUUGCCCAUCUCCUGUCAGAUUUCCAUCAGAAUUUAGGAAAGGCACAGAAAUGAGCAAGAUGACAACAAGCAGAUGCAGAAACACCUGGAAAAUAAACCCCUGGCUGCAAAACAAUUCGGUGAAGUCACAAAUAAGCCCAGCAGAAUGAGUUGUCUUUCCUGGCUGUCCAGUCACAGCCACCUCCCAGGAAGUAUGAAACAUCAGUAUGGGAUGGAGAUGAGUUUCCCAGAAGUCCAAUUCCAGCUCAGCAUUCUGCUGCAUCCAUGCUGCAUCCCCUGCCCUCCAAGAGCAGGAGGACCAGGGUACCAAGGAGCAGCAGAUGUCACCAGGACAGCAAGCUGGAAGCUCAAGUCUCCAGGUCACACCUGGAAACAUCAGCGCGUUUUCCCGAGGUAACUUCAGACCUCUCCAAAGCACCGGCUGUGCCGAGCUGUCUCUGCAGCUCAGAGCAUCCUUCCACUCAAUGCUGGUUUUCAUAGAAGCAUUAAAAAAAAAAAUAAAUUUCUAUGCGUAAGAGGAUUGGAUUUCCA
rnacentral:lncRNA from 1 species